rnacentral:misc_RNA from 1 species
AACGCACAUUGCGCCCCUUGGCAUUCCGAGGGGCAUGCCUGUUCGAGCGUCAUUACACCAAUCAAGCCUCGCUUGGUAUUAGGCCCUCGCCCCCGUAAAGGGUGGCGUGCCUCAAACACCUCGGCGGAGCCACACCGGCCCUGGGCGUAGUAGAAUCUAUCAAAACGCUCUUGGGACGGUGGGACCCCCGCCGCGCAACAAAACCUUUUAUUUUACCAGGUUGACCUCGGAUCAGGUAGGGAUACCCGCUGAACUUAA